CUUUUCAGAGGCUUCAUGCCCCAGUGGGCUUAAAUUCAGUGAGUCAAACUGGUUUGUCCUCAGACUCUUAACUUAUUCAUGUAAAAAAAGGAAAGUCAUUUAAAAACCUAUGUGAUUAUAUAAUUUCUCUCAUUGACAGAUGUUGUAUUGAAAGAACAAGUAUCAAAUUACAGCUAUUACUGCUGUAAAGUCUGACAAGUUUCAUUUCACACAUGAUCAGGUGUGGAUUCUUAAAGCAGUCCAUCAUAAAUGCUUCUCAUGUGGUAAUCUGAUGUUUGGUGUUUCUACUUCUUCUACUUGUGUUUAAAUCCUCAAAAUGAUUUAAUAUAUUUUUGGUCCUAAUGACCAGUGGACAUGUGAAGGAAAAGCACAAGGGUGCAGCACCAGACUGUCAUACUGUAUCUUAUUUAGGAGUGCACAGACACACACAGGUGUUUUUAAUUUUCUGGGCUGCAUCCCAACCUGAAUAUUUUUUCCCUUUAAUGAACACCACAGCUGCUCUUACAAAAUAUGUAUUUCUGCAUGCAGAAUGUGUACAACUGGGAUAUACUCCAUCAUAACAGCACUUUGUACUUUGACAGUCAUGCAUUAUGUGUAGCUGACACAGACAAAAAAACCCUCAAAAACAUGCUGGCUUGCAUUCUGCAAAAAGCGCCAGUAUGCAGAAGCACAUCUUAAGAUGUAAACCUAAAUACCAGUUUUACAUCUUAACUGGAACUGACUGACUGACUCUUUUGCCACAGUAACAUUGUGGCUCAGUUUUUAGUGCUCACAGCAGAGUUCAUGCUCAGGCAGCGGUCUUAUCUGUGGAGUUUGCAUGUGCUACCUGUGAUCGUGUACGUUUCCUCCAGUUUCUCCUUCUGUCGAACACAUGCGGGAUGAAGGUUUGAUCACCUGUUUCAGUUGGAGCUCAUCCCCAGGCAAUGGACAGUGUCUGCAGACAUCCAGUGUCUGCUUGGGAUGUGUUAAUGCAGUAAUACGUUUAAAAGUAAAUUUAUCCACCGCUUAUUUACAGCUACAGGAUACAUAAAGAUGAAUUUUAUGGUAUUAUGGGUAUUGGAAAAAUAAAGAUUAUGUAGCUUAAUGUUAUUCCAAUAUAUAGGAGGUUGAAGGAGGUGCUAGUCUUUAUUUGCCACUUUGUCCUUAAGGUUUCCUGUUCCCUUGUUCUGUUCAACAAAUUCAAGCAUGAACUGCCUGUUUCAGAUGUCCAUCAGCAUCAGCAUUGACCUGAUAUGUUUAUCUCCGACCGGGCGUUGGUUAGAGAUAAAGAUAUAACACAGAUAACACAAAUAUCUAGUCAGCCAAUCACAUGGCAGUAAAUCACUGCAUUUAGGCAUGUAAGCAUAGUGAAGACAACCUGUUUAGAGUGAGCAUCAGAAUGAGGAAGAAAGAUACUAGACUGUUGGAGCCAGAUGGGGGGCUGAGCAUUUUAAAAAUUGUUGAUGUAUUGGCAUUUUCCGCACAACCACUUUGAAGUCAAACAACUGCUCAUUAUAACCAAUGUAUGCUGGGGAGCUUCUCUGAACCCACAGCAUGUCAAACUUUGAAACAGAUGGGAUUGGCUGCAGAAGACCACACUGGGUGCCCCCCCUGUCAACUAAAAACAGGAAACAAAGACUACACUUCGCAAAAGUUCACCAAAUUUGGACAACAGAAGACUGGAAAAGUGUUGCCAUGUAUGAUGAGUCUCAGUUUCACUACAAAAUGGGUAGAAUUUGAUGUAAACAACAUGAAAGCUUGAAAGACUUGAUUCAAACUGGUGGUGGUAGUUUAAUGGUGUACCAGCUGCGCAUCAUUUAAAUGUCACAGCCUUCCUGAGUGUUGUUGCUGACCAUGUCCAUCACUUUAUGAACAGUGUACAGAUCAUCUGAUGGCUGCUUCCAGCAGGAUUACAUGCUAGUUUCAAUCCACUUUUGGGAUGUGGUGGAAGGGGAGAUUAGCAUCAUGGAUGUGCAACUGACAAACCUGCAGCAACUGAUGCUAUCAUCUCAAUAUGGACCAAAAUCGGAGGUCACAGCCUGACAUCAGGGUGAUGCUGCCAGGUAUGACUGUGGUUUUCCUCGACCAGAGAAAUGCCAUAUCCACUGCAGGGCAAGCAGGACAUUUGGAUGAUUUGGCUUCAUUUUUCAAAUCCAGCUUCUUCACAAAAACGCUAAUGCAGUUCUCUAAAAACUGAGAGCAAAUUAGUUUCAGGCUCAACAUGUAGAGCACACCAUCCGAGGAAUUUUAAACAGAGGUGUCUCCUAUAAUGUCAGUAAACCGCUUUAUGGAAAAUUGCUUUGGCAGUAAAUUUGAACCUGCUGUGCUCCCAAGUUAAUGAACACCCAGCAAAGCAGCUUCCUCACAGAUAAUUAAAGUGCUUGGUAAAAAAAAAUUAUUAAAGAUUGCCUUAUUCACAGAAAAUAAGAGCUGAUUUUAAACAUUCGAUUAUAAUCUCUGUUCUACGAUCGUUUUCAGGAAAAUUAGUGUUUACAAUUUCCCCUCAUGUUUUAAAGUGUUUUUAUGAAUAAUUAGAAAUUAUUUCAAUCUUUCUGAAAUCUUUCUGUCAGAUGCAACUUUCUGUGCCUCCCAAAACAGUGA